GAAUUCGCCCUUAGAGUUUGAUCCUGGCUCAGGAUUAACGCUGGCGGCGUGCAUAACACAUGCAAGUCGAACGAUGAAACUUAGUAGACUUCUUCGGAAGGACACUAAGCGGAUUAGUGGCGAACGGGUGAGUAACGCGUGAGUGACCUGCCUUACACAAGGGGAUAGCCUUUGGAAACGAAGAAUAAUACCUUAUAAAACCAUAAAAGCACACGCUAGAAUGGUCAAAGUGAUAGCGGUGUAAGAUGGACUUGCGUCUGAUUAGCUAGUUGGUGAGAUAAAAGCUCACCAAGGCAACGAUCAGUAGCCGGCUUGAGAGAGUGUACGGCCACAUUGGGACUGAGACACGGCCCAGACUCCUACGGGAGGCAGCAGAAGGG
rnacentral:rRNA from 2 species